AGCCACACUGAAACAUUGAGCAAUUGUUAUGCUUCCAGAACAGUACAGCAAAAUUCAGUAUUAAUGCAAUUAAUUAUUUCCUCUAUACAAUCUAGCUACCAGUGAGAAAGACUUUAUUUUAUAAAGUUUAAAAUUAUCAUCAGAAAACCCAAAUAUUUUCCUUUCGUAUUACGAACAGCAUGUUCUAGAACUCAUCAUCUGUAUAUUGAAAUAAUUUCACUGAGGUCUGCUAGGACAGACAAAUUCUGUAAUAACACUUCUGCUGCAGUUAUUGACAGAUGAAUUAGUAUCUGAUUCAUUUUUAUUUCUUUGGUGUUGAAUAAAUAACAGUGGCAAAAAGUCUCAGACUUUGAUCCCACUUCAGUGGGAGGACAUGUCUGCAGUGAAUUGCUUGGGAAAUCUAAAAAAGGGAACAAAUUGCAGAUUUUCCUUCUCUCAGAUAUCUUAACAUCUGUCUUUUCUAACAGCAACAUAUUUCUUUGCAGUAACUCUACCUUGCUACAGAGAAGGCUGCUCAUGGUGAACUCCUUCCCGGCUGGUUGGGGAAACUUGUAUGGGAAAUUUUGGUUCAGUGCAGACACUUUCAGUAGUAAUAGCUGCCUUUUUUCAGCUAAUGAUUAAAGAGAGCUGCAAAACAUGAAACUAUGCAAGACGUAGUGCAUAAGUUCUAUACAUGGAAUGGCACAAAAAUCACACAGAA